CUCCUGGGAAGUCCUCGUGCUGCACCCC
rnacentral:rRNA from 1 species